AUAAAUGUAAAUGUGAACAUGUGUGUUAAGGUAACUGUGUGUGUUUGUGAGCGAAUGACUGCGUGCUGUCGCCCCCUGCUAUGGACUGGCGUCCUCUCCACUGCGUUACCCUGCCGAACGCCCUACGCUUCCGAGAUAGACUCCGGACCACGGCGACCCUCGCUGUACUCGUGGUAAUUGAUAACGGACGAAUGUUUGCGCUAAAGGAAAAGCCUCGGGACGGAUAUAUAUGAGUAAAUCAGCCAGAUAUGUUUAAUGACGAACGGAAGAAAUCCAGCCGCGGCUCACAUGCAAGACACCGAACGGUCCGCGAGUACAAAUGCGUUCCGUGUCCAACAAGAGCUGAUAGUGUCUGGAAAAGGGACGCUGAGCUCCGUCCCGCUGGCUGACGUCCACGGCAGGACAAGGCCUCCGCUUUCCCCAAUUACCGCUAAACAGAACUUAAUGGGACGCUUUUUGAAAGCUAGACCUCAUCACAGAAUCACGACUGUAACAGAAGCACAUCUUCCAGCGACUGCCUUUCCCACACCUCCGUGAUGUGGGUGCGGAUACGCGGAUACGGAGCAGGGACGCUGACUGCGGCGACAGGAACGGGGCUCGUUGGGCCCAUAGGGGUGACCUUCAUUGCUGGGACGGGCGCAAGGAGCAGGCGAGUCGUCAUUUCAACAGGUCGUUCCAGGACGAAGGACUGGACAUUGCGAGUGUGCGGUUUUAACAAGGCGAUUCCUAAACUG
rnacentral:lncRNA from 1 species